CAGUAGCCGCGGGAAUACGAAGGGGGCUAGCGUUGCUCGGAAUUACUGGGCGUAAAGGGAGCGUAGGCGGACAUUUAAGUCAGGGGUGAAAUCCCAGAGCUCAACUCUGGAACUGCCUUUGAUACUGGGUGUCUUGAGUGUGAUAGAGGUAUGUGGAACUUCGAGUGUAGAGGUGAAAUUCGUAGAUAUUCGGAAGAACACCAGUGGCGAAGGCGACAUACUGGAUCAUUACUGACGCUGAGGCUCGAAAGCGUGGGGAGCAAACAGGAUUAGAUACCCGUGUAGUCCCUGUCUCUUAUAC
rnacentral:rRNA from 1 species